GUUGGGCGAGGAUGGUUUGAGGAGACAUAUGUUGAAUUGAAUCGUUCGAGCAGCGGACGGGUGAGUAAAGCACAAGGACUUGUCCGAAAGAGAGGGACACCUUCGGGAAACCGGAGCUAAUACCUCAUAAGCCGGAAGGUGAAAAGCAGAGAUGCGCUUUUGGAGAGACUUGUGUCCUAUCAGGCAGUUGGUGAGGUGAAAGCUCACCAAACCGAAGACGGGUAGCCGGACUGAGAGGUCGACCGGCCACAUUGGAACUGAGAGACGGUCCAGACUCCUACGGGAGGCAGCAGUGGGGAAUAUUGGGCAAUGGGCGGAAGCCUGACCCAGCGACGCCGCGUGAGGGAAGACAGCCUUCGGGUUGUAAACCUCUGUUGCAGGGGAAGAAGGAAGUGACGGUACCCUGCGAGGAAGCUCCGGCUAACUACGUGCCAGCAGCCGCGGUAAUACGUAGGGAGCGAGCGUUGUCCGGAAUUACUGGGCGUAAAGGGCGCGUAGGCGGCGCUUCAAGUCGUCUGUCAAAUGGAAGGGCUUAACCCUUUUUCGCAGACGAAACUGGAGAGCUUGAGAAGCAGAGAGGCAAACAGAAUUCCUGGUGUAGCGGUGAAAUGCGUAGAUAUCAGGAAGAAUACCAGUGGCGAAGGCGGUUUGCUGGCUGCAUACUGACGCUGAAGCGCGAAAGCCAGGGGAGCGAACGGGAUUAGAUACCCCGGUAGUCCUGGGCAGUAAACGAUGUAUGCUG
rnacentral:rRNA from 1 species